rnacentral:rRNA from 1 species
UACGGGGGGGGUAAGCGUUGUUCGGAAUUACUGAGCGUAAAGGGCGCGUAGGCGGCCAUGCGUGUCUUCCGUGAAAUCCCUCGGCUUAACCGAGGACGUGCGGAAGAAACUGCAAGGCUCGAGUCCGGAAGAGGGGGGCGGAAUUCCCAGUGUAGCGGUGAAAUGCGUAGAUAUUGGGAGGAACACCAGUGGCGAAGGCGGUCCCCUGGGCCGGAACUGACGCUGAGGCGCGAAAGCGUGGGUAGCAAACGGG